GAGAGCAAGAGGGAAGCACGAGGUGAGCAGGGCACAUGUGAGGGCCAGCGGGAGGCUGGGAGGCUGGGAGCCUGGGAGGGCCGGGUCCCCACCCUCAGAGGAAGCUGCCCACCUCUGUGCACACUGCCUGUCUGCCUUGCAAGUCCAGCUUCAUCAUCUCUGACGGCCUGGGGCCCCGGGGGCCCAUGGAGCUCAAAGCAUUUUCUAGAAUGCUUGCCCACACUGUGAAGAGCUGUCCAGCAGAGGCGAUGCGUGGAUGAAGCAGGUCCCUAUAGAUCAGGAUGGACAGGGACAAGCUCCUUCUUCAUGGAAAGUAUGCACUCGUUUCUACUCUUCAGCCCUGCGGAGAAGAGAGAAGGCAGCUGCCAUGUUGUGAGGACACUCAGCAACCCUCUAGAAAGGCCCAUUUGGUGAGGGACACAGGCCUCCUGUCACCAGCUGGCACCCGCCUGCCAACGACGUGGACUCUGAGAGUUCCUGGCCCCAGUUGAACCUUCAGAUGAUGGCAGCCCCACCUAAUCUCCAGACUGCAACCUGAUGAGAGACCCUCCACCCAGAACCAACCAGCCCCGUGCUCC